rnacentral:rRNA from 1 species
CCUACGGGGAGCAGCAGUGAGGAAUAUUGGUCAAUGGACGCAAGUCUGAACCAGCCAUGCCGCGUGCAGGAAGACGGCUCUAUGAGUUGUAAACUGCUUUUGUACGAGGGUAAACGCAGAUACGCGUAUCUGUCUGAAAGUAUCGUACGAAUAAGGAUCGGCUAACUCCGUGCCAGCAGCCGCGGUAAUACGGAGGAUUCAAGCGUUAUCCGGAUUUAUUGGGUUUAAAGGGUGCGUAGGCGGUCGGAUAAGUUAGAGGUGAAAUCCCGAGGCUCAACUUCGGAAUUGCCUCUGAUACUGUUAGGCUAGAGAGUAGGUGCGGUAGGCGGAAUGUAUGGUGUAGCGGUGAAAUGCUUAGAGAUCAUACAGAACACCGAUUGCGAAGGCAGCUUACCAAGCUACGUCUGACGUUGAGGCACGAAAGCGUGGGGAGCAAACAGGAUUAGAUACCCGGGUAGUC